AACGAACGCUGGCGGCGUGCUUAACACAUGCAAGUCGAACGUGAAAGGGGCUUCGGCCCUGAGUAAAGUGGCGCACGGGUGAGUAACACGUGGAUAAUCUACCCGAUGGACCGGGAUAACACUUCGAAAGGGGUGCUAAUACCGGAUAAGCCCACAGGCUCUUUGGAGCCUGCGGGAAAAGGUGGGGACCUUCGGGCCUGCCGUCAUCGGAUGAGUCCGCGGCCCAUUAGCUAGUUGGUGGGGUAAUGGCCUACCAAGGCAACGAUGGGUAGCUGGUCUGAGAGGAUGAUCAGCCACACUGGAACUGAGACACGGUCCAGACUCCUACGGGAGGCAGCAGUGGGGAAUUUUGCGCAAUGGGGGAAACCCUGACGCAGCAACGCCGCGUGAGUGAUGAAGGCUUUCGGGUCGUAAAGCUCUGUCAGAGGGGAAGAAACUGUUGUGGUCGAACAGGCCGCAAGACUGACGGUACCCUCAAAGGAAGCACCGGCUAACUCCGUGCCAGCAGCCGCGGUAAUACGGAGGGUGCAAGCGUUGUUCGGAAUUAUUGGGCGUAAAGCGCGUGUAGGCGGCUCGUUAAGUCUGAUGUGAAAGCCCGGGGCUCAACCCCGGAAGUGCAUUGGAUACUGGCGGACUUGAGUACGGGAGAGGGAAGUGGAAUUCCGAGUGUAGGGGUGAAAUCCGUAGAUAUUCGGAGGAACACCGGUGGCGAAGGCGGCUUCCUGGACCGAUACUGACGCUGAGACGCGAAAGCGUGGGGAGCAAACA
rnacentral:rRNA from 1 species